GCUGGGCGUGGUGGUGCACACUUGUAAUCCCAGCAACUUGAGAGUUUGAGACAGAAGUUCAAGUUUGAGAGCAGACUCAGCAAUUUAGCAAGAUCCUGUCUCAAU
rnacentral:sRNA from 1 species